rnacentral:lncRNA from 1 species
AUUUGAUCCACUCGCUUGUUGGGAUUCUUACAUUUCUCUCUCAUACUCUUUGCCCUGUUCCUGUUCCCCCAAUCCCUUUGUGUUGGAAAGUCCAAGACUUUAGUCUUUACAGCCCUCGACCAGCUAAUCCAUCCAAUCCAAGAUAAUUCCAACCAGCCACACAGGCAUUUAGAUACUAAAAUGUACUGAUGACUCCCAGUUCAUUUCUUCAGACCAGACCUCUCCUUGAACUUCACAUCCAUAUAUCUGACUAAUUAUUUGGCAUCUCUAUUUGGAUGUCUAAUAAAUGUCUCAAACUCAUACUCAAAAUUUAUCAUUUCUUGUCCUCCCCCAUGACAAUAUCUGCUUCUCCAGCAGACCUUGGCAUCCCAAAGAGUCCAUCCUGCUGACUGCUCAGAACCUUGGAGCCAUCUUGGAUCCUUUUUCCCAAGUCUCAUCUCAAAGCCCAUCCAUCAGCAUAUCCUGUCAGCUCAGCCUUCAGACUGCAUCCAGAAUCUGAUUGCUUCUGCUGAGUUCUACUGGUGCCAUUGUGCUCAAGGAAGCUGUUCUGUGUCACCUGGAAUACUGCCCCUAUGCUCUGCUUGUAAUUUAGUCCUAAUACAGAAUCUAAAGUGGUCCUGUAAGAUCCUAAGUCAGAUAAGGUGGUAUGUUUGGGAGAGGUUGCUGUGUGUAACUCCUUUGGGCUGCGAAGCAGAAAACAGGACUGAAGGCCUGGGGAACUUAAUCCAGAACUCUGAGCACCAAUUGCAUGAAGAAACCACCUGGGAAGCAUUUGUGCUGCCCUUUCAAAAGGGUUAGCUUCCCUUCAAUUCAGCCAAGCCAGACACAACUCCUGAUGUCAGUUUCACGGCGAAGAUCUUGACAGGAGGGUAUGACCACUGGGAUUUGUGUGGACAGUGUUGCUUAGAAAAAAAGUUUUACACCACCACAAAUGCUAAGACCUUAAAGCUAGAGGUGGCUCCUUAACUAUAGUUAUUAGUAAUAAUUUCUCUUAGAAACAAGUUGCUGUGCUUGACAAUUAUUUUCUCUGUCAUCUGAAUCUUUUGUUCCACAUCCACAAUAUCAAAGGUUAAGGUGUAGGUUGAGGGUUCCAAAUCUCCUCAAUCACCUCCUUCAAAUGACCCCUAUUCUAAAGCCAUUGUUUCUGCCACUAAUCUGUCUGUCAGACACAUGCAUUGGUGCUGUCCUCUAGUCCUUCCUCCUCGUGUGGUAUUUAGGGUCCUCUUCUAAUUCUCUGGAGACUGCAGGCACCCCUCCCUAAACACUAUGGAGCUGGCGUGCAUUGCAUCUGCAGGGACUCACAGUCUGGUCUGCUGUUCACUGCAAAGGGCUUCUAUUCUCAGAGACCAGGGCUCACAGACAGGGUGGGAGCUCUCUGCCUAGAGAGGUCCUGAGAUGCCUGUAAUAAAAAGCUCCAGAAGGUAGGAUUUCAAGAGUUCAAGAUUCCUAAGAGUCGGACCCUCUGAGAUGCAUCACUGACAUGAGCCCACAUCACUCUGGGCAGCUACUAAAACAUCCCCCUGGGUUGCUCCAGUCUGCCAUAUUGACAGAUAAGAUUCUGCUUCUUAGCCUAGUUAGUGUCUAGUGAACAAUAAAUGCUCAAUUUAAGUUAAUUGUUAUCAAUUUAGCUGUUAAUUAACCACCAGAAGGAGCCGAUUACUGUCUUUCAUCUCCUACCCUUCAUCUCGGGAGAACAGGUGAGCAUUGUCUCAGGAGAGCUGUGGGUAGUGAUGCUUGUGGACUCAAUUGUGCACCCCCGAUUGUGAAUCCCCAAGCUCCAUU